rnacentral:antisense_RNA from 2 species
CUUCACCGACCCGAGCCACAGCGGCCGAUCGGCAGGCCGGUCCCGACCGUAGGUGGCGAGCAGGGCCCCUGCCUC